rnacentral:rRNA from 1 species
UACAGAGGGGGCUAGCGUUGUUCGGAAUUACUGGGCGUAAAGCGCACGUAGGCGGCUUUGUAAGUUAGAGGUGAAAGCCCAGGGCUCAACCCUGGAAUUGCCUUCGAUACUGGGAGUCUUGAGUUCGGAAGAGGUUGGUGGAACUACGAGUGUAGAGGUGAAAUUCGUAGAUAUUCGCAAGAACACCAGUGGCGAAGGCGGCCAACUGGUCCGAAACUGACGCUGAGGCGCGAAAGCGUGGGGAGCAAACAGG